rnacentral:rRNA from 1 species
UUCCGUAAAUGAACCUGCGGAGGGAUCAUUACAGAGUUGCAAAACUCCCUAAACCAUUGUGAACGUUACCUAUACCGUUGCUUCGGCGGGCGGCCCCGGGGUUUACCCCCCGGGCGCCCCUGGGCCCCACCGCGGGCGCCCGCCGGAGGUCACCAAACUCUUGAUAAUUUAUGGCCUCUCUGAGUCUUCUGUACUGAAUAAGUCAAAACUUUCAACAACGGAUCUCUUGGUUCUGGCAUCGAUGAAGAACGCAGCGAAAUGCGAUAAGUAAUGUGAAUUGCAGAAUUCAGUGAAUCAUCGAAUCUUUGAACGCACAUUGCGCCCGCCAGCAUUCUGGCGGGCAUGCCUGUUCGAGCGUCAUUUCAACCAUCAAGCCCCCGGGYUYUGUGUAGGGGACCUGCGGCUGCCGCAGGCCCUGAAAAGCAGUGGCGGGCUCGCUGUCGCACCGAGCGUAGUAGCAUACAUCUCGCUCUGGUCGCGCCGCGGGUUCCGGCCGUUAAACCACCUUUUUAACCCAAGGUUGACCUCGGAUCAGUA